rnacentral:rRNA from 1 species
GACGAACGCUGGCGGCGUGCCUAAUACAUGCAAGUUGAGCGCUGAAGGCUGGUACUUGUACCAACUGGAUGAGCAGCAAACGGGUGAGUAACGCGUGGGGAAUCUGCCUUUGAGCGGGGGACAACAUUUGGAAACGAAUGCUAAUACCGCAUAAAAACUUUAAACACAAGCUUUAAGUUUGAAAGAUGCAAUUGCAUCACUCAAAGAUGAUCCCGCGUUGUAUUAGCUAGUUGGUGAGGUAAAGGCUCACCAAAGCGAAGAUACAUAGCCGACCUGAGAGGGUGGUCGGCCAAAAUGGGAAUGGGGCCCGGCCCAAGCUCCUUCGGGGAGCAGCAAGAGGGGAUCUUCGGCAAUGGGCGGCAAUCUGAACGAAGCACGCCGCGUGAGUGGAAGAAGUUUUCGGGUCGGUAAACUCUGUUUGUAGGGAAGAAAGUUGGUGAGGGUAAAAAGCUCAUCAAGUGACGGUAACUACACAAAAAGGAACGGCUAACUACGUG